GCCCCCCCCAGAAUGGAACCCGGCGGUUAAUUUUACCCCACCCCGGAAAACCCCCCCCGGCCCGACCCCCUAAGGGAUGGCCAAAUGGAAACCCCUUUCUUGAUUCGUGGGUGGGGGGGCCUGGGCCUUCCUAAUUGGGGGAACCAAUUUUCCGGGUUAUUUCCAAUACCAAACAAACCCCUGGCCAAUUAAUAAAAGACAGAUUUAAAACUGUACCGCACUUCUCUUAGGGGCACACGGGGUUUUCCCCCACGCAAAAUAGAAAUAACACGUGUCUGAUACCCCUUUAUGUCCCGGGCUCCGCGCGCGCUCUACUCUAAGAAACAUCUGCGCGUUAAAACCUUUGUCGAAAGAGCCUGGUAACCCCAUCAAAUUCCUUCGUGCUUGGGAUCGGGAAUUGCAAUUAUUUCCCUUGAACGAGGAAUUCCCAGUAAAUGCGGGUCAUAAGCU
rnacentral:rRNA from 1 species